UACGAAGGGGGCUAGCGUUGCUCGGAAUCACUGGGCGUAAAGGGUGCGUAGGCGGGUCUUUAAGUCAGGGGUGAAAUCCUGGAGCUCAACUCCAGAACUGCCUUUGAUACUGAGGAUCUUGAGUCCGGGAGAGGUGAGUGGAACUGCGAGUGUAGAGGUGAAAUUCGUAGAUAUUCGGAAGAACACCAGUGGCGAAGGCGACUCACUGGACACGUAUUGACGCUGAGGUGCGAAAGCGUGGGGGAGCAAACAGG
rnacentral:rRNA from 1 species